AAUUCAAUGGCUAAAGUUUGUUGGCCAUACUUUGAUCCUGAGUAUGAGAACUUGAGCACUAGAAUCAAUCCACCAAGGGUAUCUGUUGAUAACACUAGUUGCAAUGAUUGUACUCUAAUAAAGGUUGACAGCAUGAACAAACCAGGAAUUCUGCUGGAAGUCGUGCAAAUCCUAACUGAUCUUGACCUUAUCAUCACCAAGGCUUACAUAUCCUCAGAUGGAGGAUGGUUUAUGGACAUAUUUCAUGUCACUGAUCAACGAAGAUCAUGGAUGGUAAAACCAUUGACUACAUAGAGAAGGCUUUAGGUCCAAAAGAGUACAACAAAGAUGAAUUGAAGGCUUGGCCUGGCAAACGGGUAGGAGUGCACUCUGUUGGUGAUCACACGGCCAUUGAACUCAUUGGCAGGGAUCGUCCAGGUCUCUUAUCUGAGAUUACUGCUGUCCUUGCCAACCUUCACUUCAAUGUGGUUGCUGCUGAAGUUUGGACACAUAAUAGACGGAUAGCUUGUGUCGUUUAUGUCAAUGAUGACACUACUUGCCGUGCUGUUGAUGACCCAAACAGAUUAUCUGUUACGGAGGAGCAGCUUAAGAACAUUUUACGUGGCUGCGAGGAUGAUGAGAAAGCAGCUCGUACCAGCUUCUCCAUGGGGUUCACCCAUAUUGAUCGAAGGCUACACCAAAUGUUUUUUGCAGAUAGGGAUUAUGAAGGUGUCGGAGUGACAAAUGAGGUUGAUUAUCCUGCCUCCUUCAAGCCAAAGAUCACAGUUGAGCGUUGCGGGGAAAAGGAUUAUUCAGUGGUUAGUGUUUGGUGCAAAGAUCGAGCAAAAUUGCUGUUUGACAUUGUGUGCACACUCACAGACAUGCAAUAUGUUGUUUUUCAUGCCACAAUAUCAUCUGAUGGCCCCCAUGCACUGCAGGAGUAUUAUAUCCGUCACAUGGAUGGUUGCACACUUGAUACUGAAGGAGAGAAAGAAAGAGUCAUCAAAUGUCUUGAAGCUGCAAUUGGGAGAAGAGUAAGCGAGGGUCUGAGCUUGGAGCUCUGUGCAAAGGACAGAGUAGGCUUGCUGUCUGAAGUAACAAGGGUUCUGAGAGAGAAUGGAUUAUCUGUUACAAGAGCUGGCGUAACAACAGUCGGAGAGCAAGCAAUGAAUGUAUUUUAUGUGAGAGAUGCUUCAGGGAACCCAGUGGACAUGAAGACUAUCGAAGCUCUUCGAAAAGAAAUUGGACACACCAUGAUGCUUGAUGUGAAAAAACCUACUGCUAGUGCAAGGGAACCUGAAGCCAAAGGAUGGGC
rnacentral:misc_RNA from 1 species